rnacentral:rRNA from 5 species
UGGAGCUAGCCGUCGAAGGUGGGACAAAUGAUUGGGGUGAAGUCGUAACAAGGUAGCCGUAUCGGAAGGUGCGGCUGGAUCACCUCCUUUCUAAGGA